rnacentral:rRNA from 1 species
UACGUAGGCAGCGAGCGUUGUUCGGAGUUACUGGGCGUAAAGGGUGCGUAGGCGGUUUUCCAAGUUUGGUGUGAAAUCUCCCGGCUUAACUGGGAGGGUGCGCCGAAAACUAGGAGGCUUGAGUACCGGAGAGGUAAGCGGAAUUCCUGGUGUAGCGGUGAAAUGCGUAGAGAUCAGGAGGAACACCUGCGGUGUAGACAGCUUACUGGACGGUCACUGACGCUGAGGCACGAAAGCGUGGGUAGCAAACAGG